GUGAGUUAGGCCUAAGACCUAAUUCAACAAAAAUGAUUAGAUUUGAUUUAUUUUUAACUUGUGAUCAAAUCUAUAUAUAGUGAGAGAAUGCUAGUUAUAAAAUUUUCAAAUUUAAUCAUGUAAAUAUUACUUCUGUUCCUUAAUUGCAUUAUCUGUUUCUCUCUAUAAUCAUGUCCUCCACUUUGGAGAACAACAAAUGUUUUUUCCGUGAUAACAAUCAAAAGUUUCUAACUCUCAUCUCUCAGCUCGUCGUCCUUCGUCUCUUAAGUUCAGGCCGCUGGCAAUACGCUUCUCAUUGGCCCGAGUUGUGCCUCCAAGGUGGUUAACUGACCAAUUUUUGCUACAUCACUGGUCACAACUCACAAGAGUCUUAUCUAAUUGAAGUAGGUAAAGAAACUUAAUUUUAUGAAUGUCCAUAUUCUUUUCGUGUUGCAAAAUAAGUAGUUGAGGUUCAGAUGAUCCAACUCAUGAAUAUGUUACAUUUUAUACUGCCACUUUCAUUUUUCUUGGUACAUACUCUGCUCUUCUUUUUCUCUGUUUCGGUCUUUUAACUCAGUAGCAAAUUAUAAAAUGGCAUCACUAGUGUUGCUGCUGGAAGCACUUAUUAGAUCUCGCGAGGACAUCUAUCUGCAAGGACCAGACGAUGGGCUGCUUCUCGAUGCUGAAGAAACUAGCGAUAAUAAUGGUAACACCACUCGAAACAAUUACUAUUAUUACUGUGGCUGUAUAGUUGAAGCUGAGGAUGUUCCUAGCUGGAACAUUAUAUCUUAGUGUUGUAUUUGUGCCCAUACAAAGAAAUCCUAGAAACAGGUGUAUCUUUUACAAUGUAACGCGAUACGUAUGCUUGUAAUAAAUUUGUUAUUUGUCACAA